CCUACGGGUGGCAGCAGUGAGGAAUAUUGGUCAAUGGACGAGAGUCUGAACCAGCCAAGUAGCGUGAAGGAUGACUGCCCUAUGGGUUGUAAACUUCUUUUAUAAAGGAAUAAAACGAGGCACGUGUGCCUUUUUGCAUGUACUUUAUGAAUAAGGAUCGGUUAACUCCGUGCCAGCAGCCGCGGUAAUACGGAGGAUCCGAGCGUUGUCCGGAUUUAUUGGGUUUAAAGGGAGCGGAGAUGGGUUGUUAAGUCAGUUGUGAAAGUUUGCGGCUCAACCGUAAAAUUGCAAUUGAUACUGGCAGUCUUGAGUACAGUUGAGGUAGGCGGAAUUCGUGGUGUAGCGGUGAAAUGCGUAGAUAUCACGAAGAACCCCGAUGGCGAAGGCAGCUUACUAAACUGUGACUGACAUUGAUGCUCGAAAGUGUGGGUAGCAAACAGGAUUAGAUACCCUUGUAGUC
rnacentral:rRNA from 1 species